AAUAUUGGACAAUGGGGGCAACCCUGAUCCAGCCAUGCCGCGUGUGUGAAGAAGGUCUUCGGAUUUUAAAGCACUUUAAGUUGGGAGGAAGGGCUUUAGGUUAAUACCCUGAAGUUUUGACGUUACCAACAGAAUAAGCACCGUCUAACUCUGUGCCAGCAGCCGCGGUAAUACAGAGGGUUCAAGCGUUAAUCGGAAUUACUGGGCGUAAAGGGGGGGUAGGUGUUUAGGUAGGAUGGGUGUGAAAUCCCGGGGCUUAACUUGGGACUGGCUUUAAAAACGCUUAAGCAAGAGAACGGUAGAGGGUAGGGGAUUUUCUGGUGAAGGGUUAAAAGCCGUAGAAUAAGGAAGAACACCAGGGGGCAAGGGGAAUUACCGGGAUGAAUCCUGAACUUGAGGUGCGAAGCCGUGGGAGCAAAC
rnacentral:rRNA from 1 species